rnacentral:rRNA from 1 species
UACGUAGGGGGCGAGCGUUGUCCGGAUUUAUUGGGCGUAAAGAGCUCGUAGGCGGUUGGGUAAGUCGGGUGUGAAAACUCAGGGCUCAACUCUGAGACGCCACUCGAUACUGCCCUGACUCGAGUCCGGCAGGGGAGCGUGGAAUUCCCGGUGUAGCGGUGAAAUGCGCAGAUAUCGGGAGGAACACCAGUGGCGAAGGCGGCGCUCUGGGCCGGAACUGACGCUGAGGAGCGAAAGCGUGGGUAGCAAACAGG